rnacentral:tRNA from 1 species
AAAAACUUAGUUAAGUCCAUAACCUUGGCUUGUCAAGCCAAAAUCAUUAGAAAUAAUAGUUUUUG